UACGAAGGGGGCUAGCGUUGCUCGGAAUCACUGGGCGUAAAGGGUGCGUAGGCGGGUCUUUACGUCAGGGGUGAAAUCCUGGAGCUCAACUCCAGAACUGCCUUUGAUACUGAGGAUCUUGAGUUCGGGAGAGGUGAGUGGAACUGCGAGUGCAGAGGUGAAAUUCGUAGAUAUUCGCAAGAACACCAGUGGCGAAGGCGGCUCACUGGCCCGAUACUGACGCUGAGGCACGAAAGCGUGGGGAGCAAACAGG
rnacentral:rRNA from 1 species